rnacentral:rRNA from 1 species
AUUGAACGCUGGCGGCAUGCCUUACACACGCAAGUCGAACGGUAACGCGGGGCAACCUGGCGACGAGUGGCGAACGGGUGAGUAAUACAUCGGAACGUGCCCAGUAGUGGGGGAUAGCCCGGCGAAAGCCGGAUUAAUACCGCAUACGACCUACGGGUGAAAGCGGGGGAUCGCAAGACCUCGCGCUAUUGGAGCGGCCGAUGUCAGAUUAGCUAGUUGGUGGGGUAAAGGCCUACCAAGGCGACGGUCUGUAGCUGGUCUGAGAGGACGACCAGCCACACUGGGGCUGAGACACGGCCCAGACUCCUACGGGAGGCAGCAGUGGGGAAUUUUGGACAAUGGGGGCAACCCUGAUCCAGCCAUGCCGCGUGCGGGAAGAAGGCCUUCGGGUUGUAAACCGCUUUUGUCGGGGAAGAAACGGUCUGCGCUAAUACCGCGGGCUAAUGACGGUACCCGAAGAAUAAGCACCGGCUAACUACGUGCCAGCCGCCGCCGUAAGAC